rnacentral:rRNA from 1 species
AUCUACAGCCAUACCACCCUGAACGCGCCCCAUCUCGUCUGAUCUUAGAAGCUAAGCAGGGUCGGGCCUGGUUAGUACUUGGAUGGGAGGAAUAGUAAAACUCAUGUAAACUAGAAG